rnacentral:rRNA from 1 species
GGGCUCACACAAGCGGUGGAGCAUGUGGCUCAAUUCGAAGCAACGCGAAGAACCUUAUCCUGGACUUGACAUGGUAGAAGUAGGACCCAGAAAUGGUUACGACCGGUAUCCAAUCCGGAACUAUCACAGGUGCUGCAUGGCUGUCGUCAGCUCGUGCUGUGAAGUGUCGGGUUAAGUCCCAUAACGAGCGAAACCCUUAUCGUUAGUUGCCAGCGGGUCAAGCCGGGCACUCUAACGAGACUGCCGGUGUUAAACCGGAGGAAGGCGGGGAUGACGUCAAGUCCUCAUGGCCUUUAUGUCCAGGGCUGCACACGUGCUACAAUGCCGAUGACAAACCGAAGCAAGACCGUAAGGUGGAGCAAAUCGGAGAAAAAUCGGCCCAGUUCAGAUUGAGGGCUGCAACUCGCCCUCAUGAAGUUGGAAUCGCUAGUAAUCGCGGAUCAGCUACGCCGCGGUGAAUGUGUUCCUGAGCCUU